rnacentral:tRNA from 1 species
GCCCUGGUGGCUCAGUUGGUAGGAGCAUCGUCCCAUACACCAAAAGGUUGUGGGUUCAAUUCCCAGUCAGGGCA